rnacentral:rRNA from 1 species
UACAGAGGUCUCAAGCGUUGUUCGGAUUCAUUGGGCGUAAAGGGUGCGUAGGCGGCUUGCCAAGUCGGACGUGAAAUCCCUCAGCUCAACUGAGGACGUGCAUCCGAAACUGGCGAGCUUGAGUGCUGAAGAGGAUCGCGGAAUUCCCGGUGUAGAGGUGAAAUUCGUAGAUAUCGGGAGGAACACCAGUGGCGAAGGCGGCGAUCUGGGCAGACACUGACGCUGAGGUGCGAAAGCGUGGGGAGCAAACAGG